rnacentral:rRNA from 1 species
ACCUACGGGGGGCAGCAGUGGGGAAUCUUGCGCAAUGGUCGAAAGACUGACGCAGCGACGCCGCGUGUGGGAGGACGCCCUUCGGGGUGUAAACCACUGUUGCCCGGGACGAAACUCCUCUUUCGAGAGGACUGACGGUACCGGGUGAGGAAGCACCGGCUAACUCCGUGCCAGCAGCCGCGGUAAUACGGAGGGUGCGAGCGUUGUCCGGAAUCACUGGGCGUAAAGGGCGCGUAGGCGGCGCGGAAAGUCGUCGGUGAAAGCUCAGGGCUCAACUCUGAGUCUGCCGGUGAUACUCCCGCGCUUGAGCUCACUAGAGGCAGAUGGAAUUCCGGGUGUAGCGGUGGAAUGCGUAGAGAUCCGGAAGAACACCGGUGGCGAAGGCGGUCUGCUGGGGUGAGGCUGACGCUGAUGCGCGACAGCGUGGGGAGCAAACAGGAUUAGAUACCCUGGUAGG